GCCCCACCCAUGCUCUUCUAUCAACCUGCUGUCCACACUGCACCUACCUGUGCAGGUGCAUGAUCUUGUGAAGUUCAGAGUCUAGAUCGCCUCUCUCCUUACCAGCUGUUUUGCCCCAAAUAACAAUUGUGUGCAUUUGGCCCAGCUCCCAAGGGCAAGCACUCCAGAAUUCUCCAGAAAACACGUCACGUAAAAUACAGCUGAGCUUCCAAGGCUAGUUAUGAGUUCUCUGGAGGAGUUACGGUCACAUUAUAGCAGCAACUGGAUGCCAGGCCACGACUGCCUCAGUCUCAUUGACACACAGGACAGAAGACGGGGAGGGAGCAACAUUUAUUGAGCACCUGCUGUAUGCCGGGCCCCAUGCUGAGGAGUUACAUGUGUUUUCUCAAUGCUUGCACUAGGUCUGUUCAAUGAGGUGAGUAACGGGGAGGUGGGCCAGGGUCUGCACCUGCAGCCAAUGACCUUGAGUGAACAUGUUUUCUUUUUGAACUUCAGUCCCUCGUCCAUCAAAGGGGCAUGAUAGCACCUGCCCUGUCAUGUGUUUAUGACGAUAGGAGACACUGUGCAUGAAGGACUUUUCCUAGAAGAGGCCUUCUAUCGCUGGUAGCUAUUU